GGCAAUGUUAGGCAAUGUUAGUCAAUGUCAAAGCUAGGCAAUGUUAGGCAAUGUUAGUCAAUGUCAAAGUUAGGCAAUGUUAGGCAAUGUUAGUCAAUGUCAAAGCUAGGCAAUGUUAGGCAAUGUUAGUCAAUGUCAAAGUUAGGCAAUGUUAGGUAUGGUACAAUUAAUGUGUUUUGUGUGGUAGUAAAUAAUCUUAGUUUAAUUAAGUAGCUUUCAUUUGGUUUGCUAUAAAUACCCAAGUCCCCAAGCCUUGUAAUUCAUCCAAGGAAAAACAAAGCCUAGAGCUAAAUAAGAAAAGCUUUGCUAAUUAGUUUGUUUUGUGAGCUUUCUUUAAGAGUGUGCUCUAUUUUUCUUCUUCUUGGGAUCAUUAGAGUUAUCUUGGAUACUCUUCUUAUUCAA